GUGCCAGCCGCCGCGGUAAUACCGGCAGCCCAAGUGAUGGCCGAUCUUAUUGGGCCUAAAGCGUCCGUAGCUGGCCACGCAAGUCCAUCGGGAAAUCCACCUGCUCAACAGGUGGGCGCCCGGUAGAAACUGCGUGGCUUGGGACCGGAAGGCGCGACGGGUACGUCCGGGGUAGGAGUGAAAUCCCGUAAUCCUGGACGGACCGCCGAUGGCGAAAGCACGUCGCGAGAACGGAUCCGACAGUGAGGGACGAAAGCCAGGGUCUCGAACCGGAUUAGAUACCCUGGUAGUCC
rnacentral:rRNA from 1 species